GACACAGGCAAAGUGCCUGUAAAUAAACCCUGAGUGGGCAACAUGAAUGGCCGCAGACCAGACAAAAUGAGAAUCCAGUUAAACAAGUGCAUGAAAUAUGCCCCUUAGUCCACUCAGCCUGCAACACAAAAGCACAGAACAGGCAGCUUCUAAACCACAGACAUUGACUUCCGUUCUGGAGGCCGGAAGUCCAAGAUGGAGGGUCCCGCAGAUUCCGUGUCUGAAACAUUGGCAAAAUCAUCUUCAUUGUUCAUAGAUUGUUGCAGCAGAUCCAACUGAAGGAUACACCAACCAUUUUAAUCGGACACAAAAGAACAGGCUGUCCUCACCUGACCACCACCCACAACAACCGAACUUUAAUCAGACACAAAAGAACAGGCUGUCACCUGACCACCACCCACAACAACCGAAGGGCAGGGUUAUACUUUCGACACAACAAGACACAAUUGCACCAACUUCUCUACCAUGUUGUGGCAAAGAUCAUCUCCUGCGUUUUCCAAUAGCAUGUUCCUAUUUCCGUCUGAGCCCUCCCCAGAAUCACCUUUAACAUCCAUAUGUCUACCAACUGUAUCUUCAGAACAAUUGAGUCUUCUUCUGACAUAAAUGUUAAAACUCUCUCUGCCUCUAACCGUUACCCAGUUCCAAAGCCACCCCGGCAUUGUCAGAUUUACAAUCGGAAGCCUCUGCUGGUGAAAAUAUGGAAGUCAAUACUGAAUGUCCCUUUCUUUGCCAUAAAACUGCCAUCACACAGAAGAGAGAACUUACCAAGCAAUACCAACACAUUCAUUCUCCAAUAAAAUUAUUAAUUUCUUCA
ensembl:lncRNA LINC00700 long intergenic non-protein coding RNA 700